AAAUUACGCUGGGAGAAUAAAUUGUAAAAGUAAAGGCUGAUGUUACUUACUCUGCAAGCAAUCGGCAUUCAGGAGGUCCUUGCACUUUUCGUGACACUUGACACCGCACUCCAUACAUCGCACACCCUGACGAGCGAUGCCCCAGAGAAGACCCUCGCAUUCGUAGCAGUAGGUCGGCGAUGUGGCGGUCCAGGUGACGAAAUUGUGAGGAGUGGUCGACGAUAUCGGGUAGAUCAUCGCCUGCAGAGUUUUCUUGUACACGUGCAUCUUCUGUGGAUGUAUCAUCGCGAAUGCAUCGCCGGUGUUCAGGUGGAUACAACAACGGGCGCCACAGAGAACAAACAAAGAAAAUAGCAUUAUAUGCCGGCAGAAGAGAGGCACAAAAACAAUAUUCGACGGACGUAAUUAGGACUGAUUCAUCACGAGAAGAGAGAGACAUAAUUAA